rnacentral:rRNA from 1 species
AGCGAACGCUGGCGGCAGGCCUAACACAUGCAAGUCGAACGAACCUUUCGGGGUUAGUGGCGGACGGGUGAGUAACACGUGGGAACGUGCCUUUAGGUUCGGAAUAACUCAGGGAAACUUGUGCUAAUACCGAAUGUGCCCUUCGGGGGAAAGAUUUAUCGCCUUUAGAGCGGCCCGCGUCUGAUUAGCUAGUUGGUUGAGGUAAUGGCUCACCAAGGCGACGAUCAGUAGCUGGUCUGAGAGGAUGAUCAGCCACAUUGGGACUGAGACACGGCCCAAACUCCUACGGGAGGCAGCAGUGGGGAAUCUUGCGCAAUGGGCGAAAGCCUGACGCAGCCAUGCCGCGUGAAUGAUGAAGGUCUUAGGAUGGUAAAAUUCUUUCACCGGGGACGAUAAUGACGGUACCCGGAGAAGAAGCCCCGGCUAACUUCGU